UACGAGCUGCAUUGUUCGUAAUGAAUAAUUAAGUUUUAACCUUUAUGCUGUAAAAGGGAGUUAAAAAUUAAAGCAGGAAUGACAAAACUCUGUCUAUAUGACAAGGAGGACACGCAGGAAUGCUUUUGUGAACACCCACUUGGAGAAGUGGUGGUUUAAAACUUUCUUAUAUGAAUACGGCAAAAGCGGCUUGUGU
rnacentral:other from 1 species